AUUGAACGCUGGCGGCAUGCCUUACACAUGCAAGUCGAACGGCAGCACGGGUGCUUGCACCUGGUGGCGAGUGGCGAACGGGUGAGUAAUACAUCGGAACAUGUCCUGUAGUGGGGGAUAGCCCGGCGAAAGCCGGAUUAAUACCGCAUACGAUCUACGGAUGAAAGCGGGGGACCUUCGGGCCUCGCGCUAUAGGGUUGGCCGAUGGCUGAUUAGCUAGUUGGUGGGGUAAAGGCCUACCAAGGCGACGAUCAGUAGCUGGUCUGAGAGGACGACCAUCCACACUGGGACUGAGACACGGCCCAGACUCCUACGGGAGGCAGCAGUGGGGAAUUUUGGACAAUGGGCGAAAGCCUGAUCCAGCAAUGCCGCGUGUGUGAAGAAGGCCUUCGGGUUGUAAAGCACUUUUGUCCGGAAAGAAAUCCUUGGCCCUAAUACGGUCGGGGGAUGACGGUACCGGAAGAAUAAGCACCGGCUAACUACGUG
rnacentral:rRNA from 1 species